AGUGGGGAAUCUUGGACAAUGGGCGCAAGCCUGAUCCAGCCAUGCCGCGUGAGUGAUGAAGGCCUUAGGGUCGUAAAGCUCUUUCGCCAGGGAUGAUAAUGACAGUACCUGGUAAAGAAACCCCGGCUAACUCCGUGCCAGCAGCCGCGGUAAUACGGAGGGGGUUAGCGUUGUUCGGAAUUACUGGGCGUAAAGCGCGCGUAGGCGGACCAGAAAGUUGGGGGUGAAAUCCCGGGGCUCAACCCCGGAACGGCCUCCAAAACUCCUGGUCUUGAGUUCGAGAGAGGUGAGUGGAAUUCCGAGUGUAGAGGUGAAAUUCGUAGAUAUUCGGAGGAACACCAGUGGCGAAGGCGGCUCACUGGCUCGAUACUGACGCUGAGGUGCGAAAGUGUGGGGAGCAAACAGGAUUAGAUACCCUGGUAGUCCACACCGUAAACGAUGAAUGCCAGUCGUCGGGUUGCAUGCAAUUCGGUGACACACCUAACGGAUUAAGCAUUCCGCCUGGGGAGUACGGUCGCAAGAUUA
rnacentral:rRNA from 1 species